rnacentral:tRNA from 1 species
UGGCUCAGUUGGUAGAGCAUGGUGCUUGCAAUGCCAGCAUGGUGUGUGCAACGCCAGGGUUGUGGGUUCGAUUCCCAU